UACGUAGGGUGCAAGCGUUGUCCGGAAUUAUUGGGCGUAAAGAGCUCGUAGGCGGUUUGUCGCGUCUGCUGUGAAAACUUGGGGCUUAACCCCGGGCCUGCAGUGGGUACGGGCAGACUAGAGUGCGGUAGGGGAGACUGGAACUCCUGGUGUAGCGGUGAAAUGCGCAGAUAUCAGGAGGAACACCGGUGGCGAAGGCGGGUCUCUGGGCCGUAACUGACGCUGAGGAGCGAAAGCGUGGGGAGCGAACAGG
rnacentral:rRNA from 1 species